UACGUAGGGUCCGAGCGUUGUCCGGAAUUACUGGGCGUAAAGAGCUCGUAGGUGGUUUGUCGCGUUGUUCGUGAAAACUCACAGCUCAACUGUGGGCGUGCGGGCGAUACGGGCAGACUUGAGUACUGCAGGGGAGACUGGAAUUCCUGGUGUAGCGGUGAAAUGCGCAGAUAUCAGGAGGAACACCGGUGGCGAAGGCAGCUCGCUGGGACGGUACUGACGCUGGAGGCGCGAAAGCCGUGGGGAGCAAACAGG
rnacentral:rRNA from 1 species